rnacentral:rRNA from 1 species
CUCAAAAUGGGUGGUAUAUUUCAUCUAAAGCUAAAUACCGGCCACAGACCGAUAGCGCACAAGUAAAGUGAUCGAAAGAUGAAAAGCACUUUGGAAAGAGAGUCAAAAAGUACGUGAAAUUGUUGAAAGGGAAGCGCUCGCAACCAGACCUGCCCGCGGCCGAUCAACCGUCCUUCUGGGCGGUGCACUCGGUCGUGAUCAGGCCAGCAUCGGUUCGGGCGGCCGGAUAAAGGCCUUGGGAACGUAGCUCCUUUCGGGGAGUGUUAUAGCCCUCGGUGCAAUGCGGCCAGCCUGGACCGAGGACCGCGCUUCGGCUAGGAUGCUGGCGUAAUGGUUGUGAGCGGCCCGUCUUGAAACACGGACCAAGGAGUCUAACAUCUAUGCGAGUGUUUGGGUGUCAAACCCAUGCGCGUAAUGAAAGUGAACGGAGGUGGGAACCCAUUCGGGCGCACCAUCGACCGAUCCUGAUGUCUUCGGAUGGAUUUGAGUACGAGCAUAGCUGUUGGGACCCGAAAGAUGGUGAACUAUGCCUGAAUAGGGUGAAGCCAGAGGAAACUCUGGUGGAGGCUCGCAGCGGUUCUGACGUGCAAAUCGAUCGUCGAAUUUGGGUAUAGGGGCGAAA